rnacentral:rRNA from 1 species
GAUGAACGCUGGCGGCGUGCCUAAUACAUGCAAGUCGAGCGAACAGACGAGGAGCUUGCUCCUCUGACGUUAGCGGCGGACGGGUGAGUAACACGUGGAUAACCUACCUAUAAGACUGGGAUAACUUCGGGAAACCGGAGCUAAUACCGGAUAAUAUAUUGAACCGCAUGGUUCAAUAGUGAAAGACGGUUUUGCUGUCACUUAUAGAUGGAUCCGCGCCGCAUUAGCUAGUUGGUAAGGUAACGGCCUACCAAGGCGACGAUGCGUAGCCGAGCUGAGAGGGUGAUCGGCCACACUGGAACUGAGACACGGUCCAGACUCCUACGGGAGGCAGCAGUAGGGAAUCUUCCGCAAUGGGCGAAAGCCUGACGGAGCAACGCCGCGUGAGUGAUGAAGGUCUUCGGAUCGUAAAACUCUGUUAUUAGGGAAGAACAAAUGUGUAAGUAACUAUGCACGUCUUGACGGUACCUAAUCAGAAAGCCACGGCUAACUACGUG